AUUGAACGCUGGCGGCAUGCCUUACACAUGCAAGUCGAACGGUAACAGGUCUUCGGACGCUGACGAGUGGCGAACGGGUGAGUAAUACAUCGGAACGUGCCCAGUCGUGGGGGAUAACUACUCGAAAGAGUAGCUAAUACCGCAUACGAUCUGAGGAUGAAAGCGGGGGACCUUCGGGCCUCGCGCGAGUGGAGCGGCCGAUGGCAGAUUAGGUAGUUGGUGGGACAAAAGCUACCAAGCCGACGAGCUGUAGCUGGUCUGAGAGGACGACCAGCCACACUGGGACUGAGACACGGCCCAGACUCCUACGGGAGGCAGCAGUGGGGAAUUUUGGACAAUGGGCGAAAGCCUGAUCCAGCAAUGCCGCGUGCAGGAUGAAGGCCUUCGGGUUGUAAACUGCUUUUGUACGGAACGAAAAAGCUUCUCCUAAUACGAGAGGCCCAUGACGGUACCGUAAGAAUAAGCACCGGCUAACUACGUGCCAGCAGCCGCCGUAA
rnacentral:rRNA from 1 species